rnacentral:rRNA from 1 species
UGUUUAGAUAUGAGGUGUGACUCGGAGCCGUAAGGUGAAGGUACAGAUCCCACGCUGCCAAGAAAAGCUUCUAAACGUUUAAAAGUAUAAGUGCCCGUACCGUAAACCGACACAGGUGGUCAGGAUGAGAAAUCUAAAGCGGACAGGCUAACUCUCGUUAAGGAACUCUGCAAAAUUGCCCCGUAACUUUGGGAGAAGGGGUGCCACUAACUGUUAAUGUACAAGCGACAUGAAGCGGUUGGUGGUCGCAGCGAAGAGGCUCAAGCGACUGUUUAACAAAAACACAGGUCUAUGCUAAGCUGUAAGGCGAUGUAUAUGGGCUGACACCUGCCCAGUGCCGGAAGGUUAAGAGGAGGAGUGAGAGCUCCGAAUUGAAGCCCCGGUGAACGGCGGCCGUAACAAUAACGGUCCUAAGGUAGCGAAAUUCCUUGUCGGGUAAGUUCCGACCUGCACGAAUGGUGUAACGAUUUGAGCGCUGUCUUGACGGGAGGCCUGGUGAAAUUGUAAUACCGGUGAAGAUACCGGUUACCUGCAGUAGGACGGAAAGACCCCAUGAAGCUUUACUGUAGCUUGGUAUUGGGUUUUGGUGUUGCAUGUAUAGGAUAGUUGGGAGACUAUGAAGCAGAUACGCUAGUGUUUGUGGAGUCGUUGUUGGAAUACCAACCAUUCAACAUUGGAAUUCUAAUCUGGAGUUUGUAACUCUGGAGACAGUGCUAGGUGGGCAGUUUGACUGGGGCGGUCGCCUCCGAAAGAGUAACGGAGGCGUUCAAAGGUUCCCUCAGGUUGGAUGGAAAUCAACCAAAGAGUGCAAUGGCAGAAGGGAGCUUGACUGCGAGACUGACGGGUCGAGCAGGUGCGAAAGCAGGACAUAGUGAUCCGGCGAUUCCGAAUGGAAGGAUCGUCGCUCAACGGAUAAAAGCUACUCUGGGGAUAACAGGCUGAUUCUGCCCGAGAGUCCAUAUCGACGGCAGAGUUUGGCGCCUCGAUGUCGGCUCAUCGCAUCCUGGGGCUGGAGAAGGUCCCAAGGGUUGGGCUGUCCGCCCAUUAAAGCGGUACGUGAGCUGGGUUCAGAACGUCGUGAGACAGUUCGGUCCCUAUCCACUGCAGGCGUAAGAAUAUUGAAAGGAUCUGUCCUUAGUACGAGAGGACCGGGAUGGACAAACCUCUGAUGUACCAGUUGUCACGCCAGUGGCAUAGCUGGGUAGUCACGUUUGGGAUAGAUAAACGCUGAAAGCAUCUAAGCGUGAAACUAGCCUUGAGAUAAGUAUUCUAUAAGACACCUUCGAGACUAGGAGGUUGAUAGGUUGGGGGUGUAAGAACAGCAAUGUUUUUAGCUGACCAAUACUAAUAUGUUGAAGUUUUAAUC